rnacentral:misc_RNA from 1 species
GAAAGUUCUUUGAGGUGGCACCAUGGAAGCGAAAUUGCUGUUAGAUGGUCUGGAUUGUGGGUGUAGAGGUGGGCGAGGCGGUGGAGAGCUUGAAUAUGAGCUAGAAUUUGAAUCCUCACUGCUGUUACUUUCGGAGCUGCUCAUAGCAACAGCCAAAGCUAAGGAGCUUCUGCUUGAGCUGAUGGGUCUCUUUGAUAUCCCACCACCGUUAUUCUUGAGAGGAAAACUCCGGUUCUUCUCCCACACAAGAUUAUACGCCAUAAG